rnacentral:miRNA from 1 species
AGUCCAUCAUCGGGUUGCUAGC